rnacentral:rRNA from 1 species
GAGCUUACCAUGCAGUCGACGGCAGCACGGACUCCGGUCUGGUGGCGAGUGGCGAACGGGUGAGUAAUGUAUCGGAACGUGCCCAGUAGCGGGGGAUAACUACGCGAAAGCGUAGCUAAUACCGCAUACGCCCUACGGGGGAAAGCAGGGGAUCGCAAGACCUUGCACUAUUGGAGCGGCCGAUAUCGGAUUAGCUAGUUGGUGGGGUAACGGCUCACCAAGGCGACGAUCUGUAGCUGGUUUGAGAGGACGACCAGCCACACUGGGACUGAGACACGGCCCAGACUCCUACGGGAGGCAGCAGUGGGGAAUUUUGGACAAUGGGGGAAACCCUGAUCCAGCCAUCCCGCGUGUGCGAUGAAGGCCUUCGGGUUGUAAAGCACUUUUGGCAGGAAAGAGACGUCGUGGGUUAAUACCCCGCGAAACUGACGGUACCUGCAGAAUAAGCACCGGCAAUAUACGUGCCAGCGCCCGGGGUUAUA